rnacentral:lncRNA from 1 species
UAAGCACUCAGAUAUACGAGGCUCUGGGAAUCAUUCUUAUCCAAAGCACCACAAUGAUCUUUGGUCAUUGUGGAGUCUCCCAGCUACAAUAAGCAGGUUUCCAUACUAUCUGGAGUCACAAAUCCGGAAUAUACACUCUAUAGAACAAUGAGGUGACCUCGCACCUGACCAGCAGCUGUGAACUGCAGCCCCCAGAGCCUUCAGAAGAAUAUGACUUCCAUAUCACCUCUCCCUCCAAAGAGCAAGCAGAAGAUUUCUUGCGGCUUCUUCUGACCUAGAACUAUUCAUUCUAGAUCCUGUUCAGUUGACUAUCAUGGAAUGCUCGCAGCAAUACAAAGAGGCAUUGUUCAUCCCUUUCCUAAAGCAUUAAUCAAGAUUACUUGGUUAGUGGUUAUUUUUUAAAGCCACUUCUCUGUUUCUCCACAGGCAUACAGUUUGAUUAUAUAAUUUAUGAUGUCUUGUAGGUUUCUGUCUUAGUGAGUGUUCCUUUUGUUUUUGUGAGGAGACACCAUGACCACUGCAACACUUAUAAAGGAAAGCAUUUAACUGGGCCUCGUGUACAAUUUCAGAGAUUUAGUCCACUGUUAUUAUGACAGG